rnacentral:tRNA from 1 species
GGAGAGAUAGCUAGGGGGAUAGUGUUAUACUUACAAUAUAAGGAGGCCCGUUCGACUCGGGCUCUUUCUAC